rnacentral:tRNA from 1 species
GUCAGGAUGGCCAAGUGGUCUAAAGCGCCAGACUCAAGUGAUUGCCUUUUCCUCAAUUGGGUAUUCUGGUCUCCAAGUGGAGACGUGGGUUCAUAUCCCACUCCUGACA